UACGGAGGGUGCAAGCGUUAUCCGGAUUCACUGGGUUUAAAGGGUGCGUAGGCGGACAGGUAAGUCAGUGGUGAAAUCUCUGGGCUUAACUCAGAAACUGCCGUUGAUACUAUUUGUCUUGAAUGUCAUGGAGAUAAGCGGAAUAUGUCAUGUAGCGGUGAAAUGCUUAGAUAUGACAUAGAACACCGAUAGCGAAGGCAGCUUACUACAUGAAGAUUGACGCUGAGGCACGAAAGCGUGGGGGAGCAAACAG
rnacentral:rRNA from 1 species